rnacentral:rRNA from 1 species
AUCCGGUGGUUCUGCGUGGAAGGGCCAUCGCUCAACGGAUAAAAGCUACCCUGGGGAUAACAGGCUUAUCUCCCCAAAGAGUCCACAUCGACGGGGAGGUUUGGCACCUCGAUGUCGGCUCAUCACAUCCUGGGGCUGUAGUAGGUCCCAAGGGUUGGGCUGUUCGCCCAUUAAAGUGGUACGCGAGCUGGGUUCAGAACGUCGUGAGACAGUUCGGUCCCUAUCCGUCGCAGGCGUAGGAAAUUUGAGAAGAC